rnacentral:rRNA from 1 species
CCCUAUGGGGGGCAGCAGUGAGGAAUAUUGGUCAAUGGGCGGGAGCCUGAACCAGCCAAGCCGCGUGAAGGAAGAAGGCGCCAGGCGUCGUAAACUUCUUUUGUCGGGGAACAAAGGGCGCCACGCGUGGCGUUGUGAGUGUACCCGAAGAAAAAGCAUCGGCUAACUCCGUGCCAGCAGCCGCGGUAAUACGGAGGAUGCGAGCGUUAUCCGGAUUUACUGGGUGUAAAGGGAGCGUAGACGGCAGUGCAAGUCCGGAGUGAAAGCCCGGGGCUCAACCCUGGGACUGCUCUGGAAACUGUAAA